AGAGUUUGAUCAUGGCUCAGAAUCAACGCUGGCGGCGUGCCUCAGACAUGCAAGUCGAACGCGAAAGUUUCCUUCGGGAGAUGAGUAGAGUGGCGCACGGGUGAGUAACACGUAGGUAAUCUACCUUUGGGUGGGGAAUAACGCAGGGAAACUUGCGCUAAUACCGCAUAAUGCAGCGGCACCACAUGGUGACAGUUGUUAAAGCGGGGGAUUUUCGAACCUCGCGCCUAAAGAGGAGCCUGCGGCAGAUUAGCUAGUUGGUAAGGUAACGGCUUACCAAGGCGACGAUCUGUAGCCGGCCUGAGAGGGCGGUCGGCCACACUGACACUGACAUACGGGUCAGACUCCUACGGGAGGCAGCAGUCGGGAAUUUUGGGCAAUGGGCGAAAGCCUGACCCAGCAACGCCGCGUGAAGGAUGAAAUCCCUCGGGAUGUAAACUUCGCAAGAAUAGGAAGAAUUAGCGAGUAUUAAUACUGCUCGUGAUGACGGUACUAUUUGUAAGCUCCGGCUAACUCCGUGCCAGCAGCCGCGGUAAUACGGGGGGAGCAAGCGUUGUUCGGAUUUACUGGGCGUAAAGGGCGCGUAGGCGGUCAGCACAAGUCAGUUGUGAAAUCUCCGGGCUUAACUCGGAAAGGUCAACUGAUACUGUGCGACUAGAGUGCAGAAGGGGCAACUGGAAUUCUCGGUGUAGCGGUGAAAUGCGUAGAUAUCGAGAGGAACACCUGCGGCGAAGGCGGGUUGCUGGGCUGACACUGACGCUGAUGCGCGAAAGCCAGGGGAGCGAACGGGAUUAGAUACCCUAGUAGUCC
rnacentral:rRNA from 1 species